AGGACGAACGCUGGCGGCGUGCCUAACACAUGCAAGUCGAGCGGAAAGGCCUCCUUCGGGAGGUACUCGAGCGGCGAACGGGUGAGUAACACGUGGGCAACCAACCCCUCACAUCGGGAUACCCCGGGGAAACUCGGAUCAAUACCGGAUAAUGCGCGACGCUGUUGGGCGUCGCACCAAAGGUAGCUUCGGCCUCUGGUGAGGGACGGGCCCGCGGCCCAUUAGCUUGUUGGUGGGGUAAUGGCCUACCAAGGCAACGAUGGGUAGCUGGUCUGAGAGGAUGAUCAGCCACACUGGGACUGAGAUACGGCCCAGACUCCUACGGGAGGCAGCAGUGGGGAAUAUUGCGCAAUGGGCGGAAGCCUGACGCAGCAACGCCGCGUGCGGGAGGAAGGCCUUCGGGUCGUAAACCGCUUUCAGGGGGACGAAGCCACCAGGGUUAAUAGCCCAUGGGGUGACGGUACUCCCAGAAGAAGCCCCGGCUAACUACGCGCCAGCAGCCGCGGU
rnacentral:rRNA from 1 species